UGACGAUUGUUCCUCCUGCUGCUCUGAGCUCGGGCAGGUCAGGAUUUUAGAUCGUCAUAGAGAAACCAGAGUCUACUUCACCCGGUGGGUCGCCGCCUCGCGGCUGCUCGUGGCCUUAUCGGAUAUUGCGGGACUCUACAGCU